AAGGUAGCAUAAUCAUUAGUUUYUUAAUUGGAAGCUGGUAUGAAGGGUUGGAUGAGAAAGUGACUGUCUCUAUUUAAAUUUAUUAGAAUUUUAUUUUUAAGUAAAAAAGCUUAAAUAAUAAUUGAAGACGAGAAGACCCUAUAGAGUUUUAUAAAUAUAAUUAUUUAAAAUUUUAGUAUUAUAAAAGUUAAUAAUUUAUUUUAUUUAAUUGGGGUGAUUGAAAAAUUAGACUAACUUUUUUUUUAUAUGAACAUUAAUUUAUGAAUAAUUGAUCCUUUUUUUAAGAUUAUAAGAUAAAAUUAC
rnacentral:rRNA from 1 species